AGUAUACCGGAAGGUGUGCUUGGCAA
rnacentral:rRNA from 1 species